AGCAGCCGCGGUAAUUCCAGCUCCAAUAGCGUAUAUUAAAGUUGUUGCAGUUAAAAAGCUCGUAGUUGAAUUUUGGGUCUGGCCGGGCGGUCCGCCCUCUGGGUGAGCACUGUUUCGACGCCGGGCCUAUCCUUCUGGUGAGUCGGCAUGUCCUUUAUUGGGUGUGUCGGGGAACCAGGACCAUUACCUUGAAAAAAUUAGAGUGUUCAAAGCAGGCGUAUGCUCGGAUACAUUAGCAUGGAAUAAUGAAAUAGGACGCGUGGUGCUAUUUUGUUGGUUUCUAGAACCGCCGUAAUGUAUUA
rnacentral:rRNA from 1 species